rnacentral:rRNA from 1 species
AUUGAACGCUGGCGGCAUGCCUUACACAUGCAAGUCGAACGGCAGCGGGGGUAGCUUGCUACCUGCCGGCGAGUGGCGAACGGGUGAGUAAUACAUCGGAACGUGCCCUGUAGUGGGGGAUAACUAGUCGAAAGAUUAGCUAAUACCGCAUACGACCUGAGGGUGAAAGUGGGGGACCGCAAGGCCUCAUGCUAUAGGAGCGGCCGAUGUCUGAUUAGCUAGUUGGUGGGGUAAAGGCCCACCAAGGCGACGAUCAGUAGCUGGUCUGAGAGGACGAUCAGCCACACUGGGACUGAGACACGGCCCAGACUCCUACGGGAGGCAGCAGUGGGGAAUUUUGGACAAUGGGGGCAACCCUGAUCCAGCAAUGCCGCGUGUGUGAAGAAGGCCUUCGGGUUGUAAAGCACUUUUGUCCGGAAAGAAAUCGCUCUGGUUAAUACCUGGAGUGGAUGACGGUACCGGAAGAAUAAGGACCGGCUAACUACGUGCCAGCAGCCGCGGUAAUACGUAGGGUCCAAGCGUUAAUCGGAAUUACUGGGCGUAAAGCGUGCGCAGGCGGUUGUGCAAGACCGAUGUGAAAUCCCCGGGCUUAACCUGGGAAUUGCAUUGGUGACUGCACGGCUAGAGUGUGUCAGAGGGAGGUAGAAUUCCACGUGUAGCAGUGAAAUGCGUAGAGAUGUGGAGGAAUACCGAUGGCGAAGGCAGCCUCCUGGGAUAACACUGACGCUCAUGCACGAAAGCGUGGGGAGCAAACAGG